UACGUAGGGCGCAAGCGUUGUCCGGAAUCAUUGGGCGUAAAGAGCUCGUAGGUGGUCUGUUACGUCUGCUGUGAAAUCCUAGGGCUUAACCCUGGGCCUGCAGUGAAUACGGGGCAGACUAGAGGUAGGUAGGGGGAGAAUGGAAUUCCCGGUGUAGCGGUGAAAUGCGCAGAUAUCGGGAGGAACACCGGUGGCGAAGGCGGUUCUCUGGGCCUUACCUGACACUGAGGAGCGAAAGCGUGGGGAGCGAACAGG
rnacentral:rRNA from 1 species